rnacentral:rRNA from 1 species
AACGAACGCUGGCGGCGUGCUUAACACAUGCAAGUCGAACGCGAAAGGGACUUCGGUCCUGAGUAAAGUGGCGCACGGGUGAGUAACGCGUAGAUAACCUGUCUUUAUGUCUGGAAUAAUACACCGAAAGGGGUACUAAUACCGGAUAUUCUUGCUUUAUAUAAGUUUUGCAAGCAAAGGUGGCCUCUGACAUAAGCUACUGCAUAAAGAGGGGUCUGCGUACCAUUAGCUUGUAGGUGGGGUAAUGGCCUACCUAGGCUACGAUGGUUAGCGGGUCUGAGAGGAUGAUCCGCCACACUGGCACUGGAACACGGGCCAGACUCCUACGGGUGGCUG